UCACGCGGGAGCAGCACUGAGUCGAGCCCCUGCUCCUCCAUUUCGAAAGGAAUCAGUUGAGGUGCCUCGGGCAUCUUUUCCAGAUGCCCUCUGGACGCCUCGCUGGAGAGGUGUUCCGGGCACAUCCCAUUGGGAGGAGACCCCGGGAAGACCCAGGACACGCUGGAGGGACUACAUCU